CGUGUAGGCGGUCAGGUAAGUGGAAUGUGAAAUGCCCCGGCUCACCCGGGGACCGGCAUCCCAAACUGCCUGGCUUGAGUAUGGGAGAGGAUGGAGGAAUUCCUGGUGUAGCGGUGAAAUGCGUAGAUAUCAGGAGGAACACCGGUGGCGAAGGCGUCCAUCUGGCCCAAUACUGACGCUGAGGCGCGAAAGCUAGGGGGAACAAACG
rnacentral:rRNA from 1 species